rnacentral:lncRNA from 1 species
GUUUUCGCUCUUAUUUUGGGGCAAAUUCCCUCGUUCUGGUGUGCCCCUGCUGCCGUUUUUGCUCUUAUUUUUGGGGCAAAUUCCCUCGUUCCAGGACAACCCUGCCGCUGUUUUCACUCUUAUUUUGGGGCAAAUUCCCUUGUUCUGGGGCAACCCCGCCACCAUUUUCACUCUUAUUUUGGGGCAGAUUCCCUCGUUCUGGGGCGCCCCCACUGCUGUUUUUGCUCUUAUUUGGGGGACAAUUCCCUCGUUCUGGGGCAGCCCCGCUGCCGUUUUCGCUUUUAUUUUGGGGACAAUUCAUUUUGGGGAGGCUCUGCUGUGGUUUUCAGUCUGCGAGGGGAGCUCCCAGUUUUGGGGAGGAUUCUUUGAUUCUGGCGAGGUUCUGCUGCUGUUUUCAGUCCGGGAAGAGAGCUUGGAAUUUUGGGGAGGAUUCUUUGAUUCUGGUGAGGCUCUGCUGCCGUUUUCACCCCUACUUUGGGGCAAAUUCCCUUGUUCUGGGGAGAUUUCUCUCAUUUUGGGGAGGCUCUGCUGGUUUUCAGGAGGCGAGGGGAGCUCUCAAUUUUGGGGAGGAUUCUUUGAUUCUUUUAUUCUGGUGAGGGUCUGCUGCCGUUUUCAGUCUCACUUUGGGGCAAAUUCCCUCGUUCUGGGGCAACCCCUCCACCGUUUUCGCUCUUAUUUUGGGGCAGAUUCCCUUGUUCCGGCGCACCCCCGCCGCCGUUUUCGCUCUUAUUUUGGGGCAAAUCCCCUCGCUCCGGGGUUGCCGGGGGGGGCAGCUCGAAGGCGUAGGCGAUGAUGUCGGCGCAGCGCAGCAGCGCGGCCGCCUGCAGCCCCAGGGGGGUGCGCAGGGCGUCCACCUGGAAGGCGAGGGGGGCGGCGUCGGCGGCCGCCACCACGGCCCCCACCCGCACGCGCUCGUGCAGGGCGAAGCUCACCGGCAGCCCCCGCAUGGCCGCCAGGCUCCGCAGGUAGCGGCGUCGCAGGGCCGCCCGCGCCGCCUGGGGGGGGGACGAGGACGGUUUUUGUCCGUCCGUCGUCCCCCCCCCCCAGCAGCAGGGCGCGGAAGCGGGGCGACGCGGGGCUGAAGCCGCGGCUCGAGCCCUCGGGGCCGUGCGGCAGGCGCAGGACGCUCACCGGUACCGCCAUGGGGGGUGGGG